rnacentral:rRNA from 1 species
UACAGAGGUCUCAAGCGUUGUUCGGAUUCAUUGGGCGUAAAGGGUGCGUAGGCGGCGCGGUAAGUCGGGUGUGAAAUCUCGGAGCUUAACUCCGAAACUGCAUUCGAUACUGCCGUGCUUGAGGACUGGAGAGGAGACUGGAAUUUACGGUGUAGCGGUGAAAUGCGUAGAUAUCAGGAGGAAUACCGGUGGCGAAGGCGGUCUGCUGGGGUAAUGCUGACACUGAUGCGCGACAGCGUGGGGAGCAAACAGG